rnacentral:lncRNA from 1 species
UGCCCUGAUUUAUGUGUCACUUCCAAGCAGUCCUCCUAAUAAAUUUUCCUAAGUUCACUAGGUGUUCUUCCAUCCUCCUUAUGUUGCCACUCUAUCUCUCACAACAUCUCUAUUGUUCCCGGAGAGUUUGAGUCUGAUUUAGACAUUAGAAGAUUUUCCAUCAAAUAUUCUCCAAUAAAUAGAUUUUCUAUGUCCACGGUGUUUUAGAUCGGAAUGCAGCCUCAAAGCCACCACCUAAGCACAACCUUCUC